rnacentral:rRNA from 1 species
UGGGGAAUAUUGGACAAUGGGCGCAAGCCUGAUCCAGCCAUGCCGCGUGAGUGAUGAAGGCCCUAGGGUUGUAAAGCUCUUUCACCGGUGAAGAUAAUGACGGUAACCGGAGAAGAAGCCCCGGCUAACUUCGUGCCAGCAGCCGCGGUAAUACGAAGGGGGCUAGCGUUGUUCGGAUUUACUGGGCGUAAAGCGCACGUAGGCGGACUUUUAAGUCAGGGGUGAAAUCCCGGGGCUCAACCCCGGAACUGCCUUUGAUACUGGAAGUCUUGAGUAUGGUAGAGGUGAGUGGAAUUCCGAGUGUAGAGGUGAAAUUCGUAGAUAUUCGGAGGAACACCAGUGGCGAAGUCGGCUCACUGGACCAUUACAGACGCUGAGGUGCGAAAGCGGGGGGAGCAAACAGG